GUUUUGUUUUUCAAACAUUAUUUAGAUUGCAUGGGUUUAAACAUUAUCAAUAUAUUUUAAUUUAUUUUACUCUUUAUCCUCAUUGGUGCUCCAAUUGUCCCAACUUUGGCAAUAGGAGUUACUGCCAGGUGGCUCCUGAAUCUUCCUGACAUAUUCUCAUAGAAUUUACAACACCAAGAGUGAACACUAAUGGAAACUGUAAGCUCUGAAUAAUAACGAUGUGUCAAUGUAGGUUGAUUGAUUGCACCUAAUGUACCAUUCUGGCGGGGGAAUACGGACAAUGAGGGAGACUGUGCCUGUGUGCC
rnacentral:lncRNA from 1 species